UACAGAGGUCUCAAGCGUUGUUCGGAUUCAUUGGGCGUAAAGGGUGCGUAGGUGGCGCGCUAAGUCAGGUGUGAAAUUUCGGAGCUUAACUCCGAAACUGCAUUUGAUACUGGCGUGCUUGAGGACUGGAGAGGAGACUGGAAUUCAUGGUGUAGCAGUGAAAUGACGUAGAGAUCAUGAGGAAGACCAGUGGCGAAGGCGGGUCUCUGGACAGUUCCUGACGCUGAGGCGCGAAGGCCAGGGGAGCAAACGGG
rnacentral:rRNA from 1 species